AUGCCACCCAAGGAUGACAAGAAGAAGGAUGCUGGAAAGUCGGCCAAGAAAGACAAAGACCCAGUUAACAAAUCCGGGGGCAAGGCCAAAAAGAAGAAGUGGUCCAAAGGCAAAGUUCGGGACAAGCUCAAUAACUUAGUCUUGUUUGACAAAGCUACCUAUGACAAACUCUGUAAGGAAGUUCCCAAUUAUAAACUUAUAACCCCAGCUGUGGUCUCUGAGAGACUGAAGAUUCGAGGCUCCCUGGCCAGGGCAGCCCUUCAGGAGCUCCUUAGUAAAGGACUUAUCAAACUGGUUUCAAAGCACAGAGCUAAAGUAAUUUACACCAGAAAUACCAAGGGCGGAGAUGCUGCAGCUGCUGGUGAAGAUGCAUGA
rnacentral:lncRNA from 1 species